AAAGCAACGCCCAGAACAACACAAUAUGGAAUAAAUACAAUAACUCUAUAUAUGUAUAUAUAGCUACUGAUAUCUCACACCUGCCAGCAUUUGUUUGAAAAGUUCAAAACCCAAGAUUAAAUUGAAAGAGAGCAAAAAAUCCAACUACCAACAACUUCAACUCACCUAAAGAAGAAGCAGAAGCAGAGAGCAAAAACAAAAUCAAAAAAAGCACUAGCGAAUAAUUGGCCCGAAAUGGCGGCCACAAUGCCAAGCAAAUUGGCUGAGGCAAGGUCCAAGUAAACUUUAUUGAAGCUUAAAGAUGUAAAUAUUAUUUCGCGUACAUUGAGUGUAUAUUAUUGUUAAAUAUAUGCCUGCUCUAUAAGCAUGGGGACCAACCGCUGCCGUUAAAAUUGUUUCCACUUUAAUACGAUAAGCUGAUUAAUAUGUAAAAUUGUUCUAAGUAUGUUAACAUUUGUUAAUUUUCCAACAGCAAUAAAAUUGUAGUAUUGAAAUAUUCGUAUUUGUUGUAAUAUAACAAUAUUUAUAGUAUUUAUAUAAUUUAUAUUUGUAUUGAAUAUUUAUUGCAUUCACUCCAUAAUCAUCAAAGGUAUAUAGUUAAAAGAUGUCAACUACUAAACAGUUAAAGUAUAUAGUUAGUGUAAAAGUUGGUAAAGGGUAUCUACUAGUCAGUAUAUUUUGAUUAAUAAUUUAAGUUAAAUUCCGAGUCUCAUUGCAAAUGUUUGUUCCCUAAUCCAAGGUCAAUCAAUCUCUUUUAUUCCUUGUUCCCUAAUGUGUCAAUUUAUGAUCAAUAAUAAUAAUAAUAAUACUUAUUAUCAUCUCACAAAAUGUUCCCUAAACAGAAUCAGACUUCAGAGGUUUUCAAAUCAAAAUAGUUGAAAGUGAAAAGUUGAAAAUUGGAAAUAAAAAUGAAAAAGCAUCGAAAGUUAUUUUUCAAUUGUAUUUUAAACUUUAUUAAUACACAAAACUUAAGUAAAAAAUAAUAAUAAACUCUACAUACCUACAAUACAAUACAUAAUAGUCAUAAAAAUAAUAAUAAUAGAUAAUAAUAAUAGUACACAAUUGUAAUAUUGUCGUUUCCAGUUAUUGUACAAUGUAAGCAAAAAUCUUGUUCAAUUGUUGUUUGUUGUUUGCAAAAAAUACACUCUCUAUAAGGAUAAGUGUAAGAUAUUGUAAAUAGAUAUAGUUAUAUAUAGGGCCAACUGUUCAGUUACCGAUUGAAUACUUUUAUCGCGUUCACUUCUAUGUAUUUUAUGUAAUUAUUAAUUAUUAAACAAAAAUAAUACAAAAACAAAUUCGUGGCUGAGUAUACAGCGGUUGCUUGUGUGUGUGUGUUUGUGUGUAUGGAUGAGUGUAUGAUGAACCUUGAGGUCCUUUUUUUUAACUUUGAUUGCUUUGUUCUUUUUUCACAUCACUUAAAAGUCUAAAGAUUUUUUGGUCCAAUAAUAUUUAGUUGGGAAUAAUAAAUAUGCAAUGCACAAAAGUGAAUGGAGGGGGAGGGAGACGAAAACUGAACAAAAAUUAAUGUGUGAAUAAUACAGAAAAGUGGUGGGGGG